rnacentral:rRNA from 1 species
CGGUCUGGAAAGGCCCGCCAAAGACGGUAACAGCCCGGUAGUUGAAAUGGCUUUCCCUCCAGAGUGGAUCCUGAGUACGGCGGAACACGUGAAAUUCCGUCGGAAUCCGGGAGGACCAUCUCCCAAGGCUAAAUACUCCCUAGUGACCGAUAGUGAACCAGUACCGUGAGGGAAAGGUGAAAAGCACCCCGGAAGGGGAGUGAAACAGUUCCUGAAACCGUGUGCCUACAAGUAGUUAGAGCCCGUUAAUGGGUGAUAGCGUGCCUUUUGUAGAAUGAACCGGCGAGUUACGAUUUGUUGCAAGGUUAAGCGGAAAAAGCGGAGCCGUAGCGAAAGCGAGUCUGAAUAGGGCGCAUAAGUAACAGGUCGUAGACCCGAAACCAGGUGAUCUACCCAUGUCCAGGAUGAAGGUAAGGUAAUACUUACUGGAGGUCCGAACCCACGCACGUUGAAAAGUGCGGGGAUGAGGUGUGGGUAGCGGAGAAAUUCCAAUCGAACUUGGAGAUAGCUGGUUCUCUCCGAAAUAGCUUUAGGGCUAGCCUCGAGGUAAAGAGUCAUGGAGGUAGAGCACUGUUUGGACUAGGGGCCCUUCUCGGGUUACCGAAUUCAGAUAAACUCCGAAUGCCAUGUACUUAUACUCGGGAGUCAGACUGCGAGUGAUAAGAUCCGUAGUCGAAAGGGAAACAGCCCAGACCACCAGUUAAGGUCCCCAAAUAUAUGUUAAGUGGAAAAGGAUGUGGGGUUGCUUAGACAACCAGGAUGUUGGCUUAGAAGCAGCCACCAUUGAAAGAGUGCGUAAUAGCUCACUGGUCGAGUGACCCCGCGCCGAAAAUGUACCGGGGCUAAACAUAUUACCGAAACUGUGGAUGAACCUCUUUAGAGGUUCGUGGUAGGAGAGCGUUCUAAGGGCGGUGAAGUCAGACCGGAAGGACUGGUGGAGCGCUUAGAAGUGAGAAUGCCGGUAUGAGUAGCGAAAGAAGGGUGAGAAUCCCUUCCACCGAAUAUCUAAGGUUUCCUGAGGAAGGCUCGUCCGCUC